rnacentral:lncRNA from 1 species
GCAGGAGCCCCUUAUCCGCCGCAUCUUCCAUGACGUCGCCGAACCCCUGCAGGGUCCCCGCGGCCUUCCUGUCCUCCGCGCGCAGCGGCGGCUAUAAAAGGGGAGAAUUCGGCGCGCGGCGCAGGAAGGGAUCCGGAUCAAGGGCUUCCUUCCCCCUCCUGCUCCGCCGCCAUGAAGCGCUUCGCGGCUGCCCUGGUCCUCCUCCUCCUGGGAGCCCUCCUGGCCCCGGCCGANGCUUCUCUGGGCCCUGAAAAGACCCCCGAGGAAACUCUUAAUCCGUGUGUUUACCGCUGCUGCCCCAUAUAUACCACGAGGCCAAUUCCGAAAUACCUCGUGAAAUCCUGUGAACGUGCAUCCGGCUGCUGUGCACAGCCAGCAUAUAUGUGAGUAUCGNUAGAUU